CGAUCCGGGGCAGCGGGCGUCCUGUAGCUGCGCCUUCCGAAUCCAGCCCAGAUUCUCCUACCAGCUGCUUGGGUCACGUCGGUGGAACUCCUAAAGGGAUGCCUUCAAAAUGUGUGAAUAAGCUUCAAUCAGACUGCCCUUCCCAAAGAAAAUAACUAUAAAUGCUGGAAAAACUACAAAACAGCCACCUGAAGGCACUGGCGAGAGACAAAAGCAAGCAAAUUCUGGAGAAGAGUCAACACUUGGAAGAAGGGAGCUGCACUGGGUACAUGGGGAAGGAACAGUGUCUCUGCAUGAGAAUGGCCAAAGAACAAGAUACAUUUCCCCGUGGAGAGCAAUCCUAGAGAGAGGGAAGCAUGGGUCAGAAUAAGGUGUACUGGCCCCAGGCAUAAACCAGGUAGCUGCUGUUUUGUGCCCUAAGUGUCUAUCCAUGGCAUACUCCUCAGAAAAUCAAGACAUCUCUUUUUUCUUCCCUGUUCCUUCCACUUCUUAAAUAUAAAUAAUUUAAACAAAUUAUCUGCCUCUCACUUCUUUAAAAAAGAAAAAAACUCUCCUGGCAGAAGAUUCUAAAUGACAAUAGGAGGUCAAAUUAGCAAGCCUGACUGCUCAAGCUCAAGGCAGAUGUGAGAGAAGCUUUGCUACUGCUUAUGACCUUCCUGCACAUUUACCCUUUUGGCAUGAGAAUCACAAACCAUGAGGAAACUUGCUUUUGAUCCUUAAGAUGGAAGCCAAGAAACCUUCUGCAAAAUGGUCUGGAAUUAUGUGUAAAACAUGUAAGAUUGAACAGCCAGCCUCAGCGACUCACAAGAAAUUAUCUCCUGGGCCAAGUUGGUGAUUUGAUAUCACCAUUUAUAUUCACUACAAGAACCAAAAAGGCCCGAUUUUCCAUGUUCAGUUCAACCUCUCCAGGAGGAGCCCUUCCUUGCUUUUGGUAGACCUGCAAGAACAAACCCAUUGAGAUGGCUACAGAAUGAGAAGGGAAGCUUUUUCAUGGUGUAAGAAGUAAGAAAAAUUGAUUAGGAAGAACUCUGUGGGUAAGGAGAAAGAAAACCUACUAGGAGACCAUUAUUGCAGUGAAGAGCAUAGAACAAGGCUCUCUGGAAACUUAAGGGAAUCAUAAUAUGCCUGAGAAAACAUAAACAAAAAUUAUCUUAAUGACAAAUAAGUGCUUCGGAAAUAAACAAAGGCCAAAAUCUGUUAGAGAUGGUAGGUAGACAGCUCUCAUAUUUCCGUGGAUUGCAUCCUCAUGAAGGAUUUUCAACUUGUCUUUCAUUUUGAAAUUGAAUAAAUAUUGGAAUGCAUUAUCAUCCACCCUCCCUACAUUCAUCUAUAAAAGGAGACAUGACAGAUGUAAAGUUCCUAUCAAUAUGUGAACAGCAGAGGGAAAAAUGAGGCUGCACCCUGAAUUGAAGUGAUCCUAUCUCUUUAAGCCUCUUUCACACUGGAGAGCUACAGGAAGCCUGAGUUUGAAAUCAUUUGGUCCAGACAGAAGAGGAGAAGCAAGGACCGAGUGUCAUGAAGAGGGAAACAUUGCCAGACUGUCAGAGGUUACCUAAUAUCCUUUGAUGGGUUUCCUCCUGUUUCCCUGAAUCUGGGAUGACUGUCCCCUUGAACUGCUCCGGUAUCUUAGCCAAUGGACAAUGUAUUGUUACUCCCCUCCUUAUCUAUUCGUGGUUUUUGCACACAUACCAUGAACUCAUAAGUGUUGAAGGAUCUCGACGUGUAAAAAUAUUUGUAAGAACAAGUUCAGUGACUAGAAAUUUGCUAGCUGGUUUGAAAUAAAGAGAUACACAUAAAACUAUAUUAUGAACUGGGAUCACCCAAAUUAUCUUCUGCAGGACAUUAUUCUACUAGAAAAUAUGGACAAAAUCAUAAGGACAAUUGUCAGUUUGAUGCUGACAAAAUUUUGUAAAAUUCCUUAUAUUAAAACCACUCUUCACUAUUAGCAGGAGACUACACAUGUUCUAAUGGUCUGAGAAAUACUGCAGUAAAUAAAUCUGGUUAAUUUUGUUUAAACCAAAUGUUUCUGAACAUUUUUGCAUUAUUUUUUAAGCCAUGGAAAUUUUUAUAUCACAAAAACUAUCAAUAUCUCAGGGUCUUAGUGCUCCUCAGAGGAAUUAUGAGGAAAUAUUUAACAAAGAUUGAGCUGUUCGCUACAGUUGGUUUAAGUGCAAUUGCAAUUAGGGAGAACAGCGAUCACUUCCGGCGUCUAAGGGAAGCAUUAAUAAGGAGUUUGAACUGGACUUGAAUGAUGUGAGUAUUUUGAUGCAUCAACAAAAUAAGAUAUUCUGGGCUGGGAGGGAAGUCAAGAGGCUUAACAGAAUAAAUACAGACGUGAAGGAGGAAAUGGUUCCGAGUUCAGGUGUGUUUAAGGGACAAUGAAAAAAAUCAAUAUGUCUGGAGAGGAGGGUUUUGAUUGAGUAAAAAUCAAUUUGGGAAGGCUGAUUAUAAAGACCCUUGCAUUUUGGAUUAGGUUCUAUGAAGAUUGAAGUAUGCAUUAAUUGCAUCCAGAGGGGAACAAAAAGGGAAUAUGUGUUUAGCAUUCUGAACAAACCAUUUUCUUACUUUUUUCAUUUUAUUUUAUUGUUUUUCUGUUUUUAAAUCUAACACAAGCACAUGGUCAAAACUCAUAACAUGAAAAAGAUAAACAAAAGAAAGUUAAAAUAACUGAUAAACGCAUGAACUAGGUAUAAUGAGUUGACAUAGGGAGUAUAUCCUUUGCCACUUUUUCCGAAGUGUACACAUGUUCACACACCCAUUUAAAAAAAUGUCAGCUUACACCAUGGCUGAAUAUGACAGUCACAGUGGCUGUAGACUAAGCUACUAAGGGGCAAGUAAAUAAAUAUAAAUGUGUAUAGUAAAGUAGAAUGCACAGAUGACAAAGAUGUAGUCUUUCACACAGACAACAUUACAAAUUAAAUAUGUGGAAUGUCCCUUGUUUCCACAAAGAAAUAUUCUUUCUUUUUGGACUACACCUCUUUUAUUUGAAUCAUACAGCUAUUCGGGUCCAUUUUUAAUCUUACCCAUCUUGAUAGAAACACAGAUAUUUACAAAAUAUAUUUUCAACUCUAAUAUUAGGGAAAAAAUGAUAAAUGCCAUCUGACUCUAGGUUUCAGUGUAUGGUAGGCAAAGACAGAGGUGGGGUUGGGGCUGAACUGGAAAGCCACCUCCCUCUGUGAGUCUAAGCACCAUACUGCAGCAGUAGCUGCUAGAUGAAAUUGGGCCCAGAGUUGGCAGAACUUCAUGAUUUUCAAGAGAAUACAGGAAUCCAGAACUUAUAUAAUAUUCUCUAUUUUAUAACAAAUAAGAAUUAAUCAUUUUAACACGAAGAGAAUCAGUAUUCCAUAGGUGAAACAAAACACACACAGGACUCUACAGUUUUUCUCUAGUUCUUACAGAUGCCCACAAAAUAAAACAAAAUACAACAGCAACAAACUUUCUCAUUCUUAACAGUUAGGGUAUAUUACUGUGCAACCUCUCUGGUAGAAAAUCUUACAGCCCAAGAGUAAUGGGCAUUUUCACUUACUAGACUUUUCCAUCCUUUAGGUGUGACCUGGUACAAUAUUUACAUUUGUGUUAGCAUAUUAUGAAUCUUUUAUUCUAAACAAAGUUGUUUGGAAAGUCUAUAGAAUUUCAAAAAAAUAUGCUAUUGAAUGUAUAUUUUGUGGUUUUAGGUAGGUAUCUUACCCAUUGGAGGAAUAUCUAUUCCAAAAUGCCACUUAGGUUAUUUUCAAGAACCCCCUACUCAAUAUUGAUGCAGCUCUGUGCUUCUGUAGCAGUGGGAACAAAGCUGUCUGUGUUGAACUGUGGAAUCACAGUAAUUAGUACAAAUGCCUGUAAUCAGGGAAAGGUUAGGUUGAGAAAAGAGGAAUAUAAAUGUCUGUGACACUCAAAAAGAAACAAGAGAGAGAGCAUCGGAACAGCAAGAACAAAAAGAACAGUUGAACUUCACUGUAAAAAACAAC
ensembl:lncRNA DPP10-AS1 DPP10 antisense RNA 1